UUGACAUCCUCUGAACUUUCCUGAGAUGGAGUUUUGCCUUCGGGAACUCUGUGACAGGUGCUGCGUGGCUGUCGUCACCUCGUGUGGUGAGAUGUUGGGUUAAGUCCCGCAACGAGCGCACCCCUUAUCCUUUGUUGCCCCCACUUUGUUGGGCGCUCUAUAGGAAAAGGCCGGGAGAAACCGGAAGAAAGGGGGGAAAAAAUCCAAUCCUCCCGGGCCUUUUAAACUGGGGUUCACACCUGUUACAAUGGGGGU
rnacentral:rRNA from 1 species